AAUCCAAAACUCAGGCUUGAGGAAAAAGUAAUAAGUUAAGUAAGGGGCCGUCCUGUCUUGGCCACUGUGGAUUCUUAUCCCAUGGGGUCUUUGAUGAUGAUUCCGUCUAUAGUAGAUAAAUUCAUAUGGUUUGUCAUGAGUUGGCUAUCACUUCUUCAUAAUGAAACCUUGAAUUUGGUAUAUGGCUCUAUGAACCUCUUCUAGAA
rnacentral:lncRNA from 1 species